AAAAUGGAGAACUACAGGCUCGGAGGUCGCUCUGCCUCUCUGAGGCGGGGCUCCACGGCGGCCAAUGAGGCGGGACCACGAGGGCUCCAAAACACCCAGGAGCGGGCGGGAGAGCCGGUACCGUUUUAGGGAUUGGCCUGAGCUACCUAAAACCACCUGGCAUCUUGUUGAGAAGGCUUCAGCACCACCUUCAUGUCACAUGCCCCGAGUAUCAUCAUUUGGCGUCUCCUCUACCAACACCAGAAAAUACACCUUAAAGCAUGAAGAAAAACCCAAAUCUAUACAGUGAAAAAGAAGAAUCAGUAUAAACACACAGAAAAGCUUAAAAGGACAUGGACUAUUCCAAAUUCAACACAUUCUAGGUGCUUUUGUGGUCUUAAUUACACCUCAAAUAUUAUUCUGGUAUUAUGUAAGAUUAUGUACAUAGGCUUUUGUAGUCCCUAGCAAGUAAGUGAUCAAUAAAUGGUAACCGUUAACUUUAUUGAUAUUCCUGAGUUAUAGGAAACUUAACAUUCAGUAGUGGAUAUCAAUUUGUCAUUGUUGUUGUAACAAAUGACCACAAGGGUGGUGAUUAAAAACAAACCCAGUGUAUUAUCUUACAUUCUGGAAGCCAGAAAACUAAAAUGAAGUCGCAGGACUGCAUUCAUUUGGAAUAUUCUAGAGAACAAUGUUUCCUUGCUUUUUCCCAGUCUAGGGCCAAUGGAAUUCCUAGACUCAGGACCUCACAUGACACAGUGGCAUAACCAGUUUCUGUUGUCAUGUGCUUUCUGACCCUAUCGCUCUUGUAUCCCUACAUAUAAAGACCUGUGAUCGUAUGGGGCUCACCCAGAUAAUCCAGGCAACUUCCUUAUCUCAAAAUCCUUAGUCACAUCUUCAAAGUCUCUGUUGGCCUCUCUAGUAACAUGAGAACAUUAACAUCUAUGAUUCCAUCUAGACCCACUGCAUAAUCUGUAGGGACAGCCAAAAAUGAGUCCAGAGGAAGUGUGAAGAAUUUCAAGACUGACAGCAGAACAAUAAACCAAGUCCAAAGUCCUAGAACUCCACAGGUCAUCUUCCCAUGACACCAAUUCCCUUUUCUCCUCCACAUUUCUGCUGCCUCCACUUUGACCCAGGUCUUUCUUACCUACACAGCCAACACAAAACUGUGACUUGCUUCUCACAGCUGCCUUUCUACACUCAUUUCUCUGUGCUUUGGAUAAGCAAGGGACUUUCCUCCCGCCCCUUUGUGUUGCAAUUGGCCCUGAUGACAUAUACAUGAUGGAACAUGGCCAUAUUUUUUUUUUUAGUUAUAAACUGCCCUAUUUUUAAAUCUCAAGUUUUUAAUAUCUGAUAUCAAAGGCAGAACCCAUGCCUGCCAUUCAGAGCACUUCAGGGUCUAUCAGGGAAGAAAAACAUAAGCUUUUCCAUUAGCUUUUCACUUGGUAGAAGGAAAACAAGUUUACAAAGAUUAUAAUGAUACAAAGAUUAUAAUGGCACACAGCAUUUGUUUUAGCUCAGAAACUUGACUCUCAAUGUUUGGAAACAAUUUUUUCUCUCUUGGUGAGUUAAAUCAGACAUGGGUAUUUUUCAUGAAAAAGAAAGGUACCGCGGGUUAUUCACAUUGACCUGUGCUGUGAUCUGUCUUAGCAGUUGUAAUGAGCAGUGUGAGGAGAUGGUUAAUUGACGAAUAAGCUGCUGUCCUCUGUUUUAGCCUUGCUGUUUACUCCUAAUAAGAGCAGGCAUUGCCUUUAUAAUGAUACCCAUGAUCCUCAUUUAUGCUCCUUACUUCAGACUUUCUGUCCUAGUGCUGGAUUUGGAAGUUGAAACUGGAAGGCCACACCACAUUCCCCUCAUGGCAAGAAAAAUCCAGAUCCAGCUAGAUUUAAAAACAAUAGGAAAACUAGUAGUAGGUAGGAAAACUAGUAGUAGGUAGGAGAACUGACAGCUUGUGGGACUGAACAAGGCUUUACCACUUACAGCUUCUGAAAAGUGAGUCCAUUGGGCUGUGACUCAGGGACCAAAAGUAUGGACCACUGGCUGGUCUUUUGGACUGACUUGUGGUUUUCAGUUAUUUUUCAUCUUCUAUCCUCCCAUCAAACUCUGUUGUAUGAUUGGAACAGAACUGGGCCCUUCUGAAGACCAGCAAGUGUUCUUAACCACUGAGCCACCUCUCCAAAUCCCUUAUUUUAAAUCUUGCUAAGUUGCCUACAGAGGCCAUGAAAUUUCCAUGUUCCUACCCCAAGCCUUCUGAGUAGCUAGAAUCACAGGUCUGCCACCAGGCCUGGCUUUAAAUUCACUUUUCCUUACCUUGGCUUGCAUUCGUACAUUCAUUAAAUUGUCACAGAUGUCCUGGUCUGUUGGUUCACAGAAAAGUAUCCCCAUCAGGACACAAGCCAACCAAAUAAAGCUGUAGUAUGUUUUUGCAGAUAACAUAAUUUAUUAUUUACAAACCACCUGGCUUAGACAAGCCUAAUUUUCUGGAACUAAGGAACAGGAAAAUUAUUUUCCUUCCAGUGGAAAAAAAUUAUGAGCCUCCCAGAUCAGUUCUGGGAAGAGUGAGGACCAAUUUUGUCAAUUAGUACAAGUCCUUCAAGGCAAACAGUGAUGAUUACUCAUUGAUGUGGUUGGGACAGAUCAAUGUUCUCUGGGGAGAAACAGUCAGUACAGAUGAUCUGUUACUUUUCUCAUUGCUGUGACCAAAUCCCAACAAGAAGCAACUUAAGGGGAAACAGGUGAGUCUGUUACAGGACAGGAAGAUACAUAGAAGCAUGGAAACAGACUCUAAUCUGUAGCAGUUGGAGCAUGAGGCUCACAUCUCCGUAUAGUA
rnacentral:sRNA from 1 species